GUUUCGCCCUGUUUACCAAAAACAUCGCUCCUUGGAAAGGUUUUCUAAUAUAUAAGGAGUUCUGCCUGCCCAGUGACAUAGUUAAACGGCCGCGGUAUUUUGACCGUGCAAAGGUAGCAUAAUCAUUUGCCUUUUAAAUGGAGGCUGGUAUGAAUGGCAAGACGGAAAUUUAGCUGUCUCUCUUUUAGAGCUUUAAAAUUAAUAUUUUUGUGAAGAAGCAGAAAUAAAAUCGUAGGACGAGAAGACCCUAUCGAGCUUAAGUAUAUGAUAUAGAUUUAUGUUAUGUCUUUUGUAUUAAUUACCCUUAUUUAGGGGAGUAUUUUUAUUAAAAGGAUGUGAAAUUUUAUAUCUUUUAUUUAGAUUGGGGCAAUCGCGGAAAAAAUAGAACUUCCGUUGUAUAUGUGAUUUAAAAAGUGACACCUUUAAGGCAUAUGUAAGUAAUAUUUUAAUGAUCCAUUUUUUAUAAGAGUGAGUAAAGGAAUAAGUUACCGUAGGGAUAACAGCGUAAUUCUUUUGGAGAGUUCAUAUUGAUAAAAGAGUUUGCGACCUCGAUGUUGGAUCGGGACUUCCGGGGGAUGCAGCAGUUCCUAAGGGUUGGUCUGUUCGACCAUUAAAGUCCUACGUGAUCUGAGUUCAGACCGGUGAAAGCCAGGUCAGUUUCUAUCUACG
rnacentral:rRNA from 1 species